GGUAAGAUGGCUGAGUAAGCAUUAGACUGUAAAUCUAAAGACAGGGAAAGUACCCUUCUUACCA